UACGUAGGGUGCAAGCGUUGUCCGGAAUUAUUGGGCGUAAAGAGCUCGUAGGCGGUCUGUCGCGUCGGAUGUGAAAAUCCAGGGCUCAACCCUGGACCUGCAUUCGAUACGGGCAGACUAGAGGUAUGCAGGGGAGAACGGAAUUCCUGGUGUAGCGGUGAAAUGCGCAGAUAUCAGGAGGAACACCGGUGGCGAAGGCGGUUCUCUGGGCAUUACCUGACGCUGAGGAGCGAAAGUGUGGGGAGCGAACAGG
rnacentral:rRNA from 1 species